ensembl:lncRNA
CAACAGAGCUCUGGCCAGCAGACUAUAACAGUCUGCCUUCUGUUAAGACAGCAGGUGCCUUUAGUCACCCUAGGGAAAAUGCUCCCUCCAGGUAUAUGCUGUUCAAAGACAUGGGGACUUGAAGGCAUACAUCUCCUUUCUGAUGUCCCAGACAUCGACAGAGCUGAAUUCCCUGAGCACGGGGCUGAUUUAGCAGCCAUCUGUCUGAAUUGACUGCUGUCCCUGGCUUCAGUGACCACCCAGCCUGAAUUCUGCAAGGGGGGCUGCCAAGCUGUGGUUACUUUCUGCCCCAAAUAGCUCUGAAGUGUGGCCUGGUGUGUGCUUUAAGUAAAAUUAUGCUACUGUUGGUUCCCCGCUUGAUUAAAAUGUAUCUUUCAGUCUUUAAGGGUGGGCAGUGACUUCCUGGGAUUAGAAAAGGAAGUGAACUGGCUGGAAAGCAGCAAGGAAGCACUUUGUUUACGAGUACUGGGUGGGUAGAGCAGCGUAUGUUGCUAAAGUCUGGGGCUUGGCCGCAUUACUCAACUCCUGCUAAAGAUCUGCUAAAUUCACUGAGUCCCGUUUUCUUUCUUAACAG